UUGCAGAACAUAUUGAUGCUCUGAAAGAUAACCCCAGAAGAGUAUGAGGAGACAUACACAGUCUACACAGAUUGCCUGUUUUACUUCUCACCAUUGAUUUAUGUUGCCAAAACAAAGAGAAUGCUGAAAGUCACCUGUUCUCCAAAGGUAUGUGCCACCAAAUCAAGGAAAAGCAAUAGAAAGCAGCCCCAAAAUGAAGAACCAGGUAUCCUUACAGGAAUAUAGUGAACCACAAAGGGCUAUGUGAAAAUGCAUUUGCUGCAAGCGGGAACAUCAGGGGAAUUUGGUGCCUCCAACCAAGUUAACAUAUCUUUCAAUCACUUGUGAUAUUGCAGAAUAAUGGCAACUACCAUGGAAAGAUGAAAUACAUAUGGUGCUGUAAAAACCAGGAGAGCCCAAGGGCAUUUUGCUCUUGCCAUUCCUGAGGAGUUUAUUGCCUACAGAUAAGCCCUCUCUUUGCCUGCUGCCAUCCACGUAAGAUGUGACUUGCUCCUCUUUGCCUUCUGCCAUGAUUGUGAGGCCUCACCAGCCAUGUGGAAC
rnacentral:lncRNA from 1 species